GAAAAUCGAAACCAAUAAAAAUCACCACACAUGAGAAAUAAAGCCAAUACAAACCAUAAUUAAAAAUUUACAGAGGCUAAGCGCAAGAAUUGUCCAUGUAUGUUUUCCACAUCAUAUGGAAAUAGCACAACCAUCUUUUUUCUGAAUUUUUUUUUUAAGCAGAAACUAAUAAAGUGAAAUGCCAUAUGAAACAUAAUGACAAAUUGGAAAGCUAUCCAAAAGUCCAUAAAACCAGAGCACAGAUUCACUCUUAAACACUGAAGCCAACAUAUAAGUUCUCGCCAACACACGACAUAGAGUUCUUCAUACUGCAGAGAUGUCCUAUAACUGAUUAUGGGCCCCCAGCAUAUAUAACAUUAAAGGACACCUGAUAAGAUACGUGGCCUUCUCAGAAGAAGCCUCUAACAGAUGAGCAAGAUCAUCAUUCUUUGAUUAUUGAAACCUCAUCCCAUUGGAUCUAGAUUUUAUCUAGCUUCUCAGCCUUGAUCACAGGGUUUGCUUUAAUUAUAGCAUCCCUAGCAGCAGUGCGGUAGUCAAAGGGGCAGUUAUGUUUGUCCGAAUAGCGAUGUGACGCACAGUAUAAGUUACCACAGCGACAUUUGAAUCCUGUUAAACCAACACGCUUCUUGCAACUGCUGCACCGGCUGGGACCCUCCUUCGGCUUUGCCUCCACACUCUCGCUCAAUUCUGAAGCACAUGAUAGCUGCACAGAGAUGAUUUUUGGCUCCACUGAACUAGCUUGCACAUCAACAGUGGCAGCAGCAACAGAUUCACUUCCAUUGCUGCUUGACGUUUCAUUCACAAUGCUUCCAAUAGAUGAAGCAGCAAGCUUAGCUUGAUCCUGUUUCAGCAUUAUAUCCUUGUAGCAUUUGGAACACAUAUUCAUAGUAGCCACACUUCCAAAGAAACCACAAUUGUUGAUGCACAAGAUAGGGCCCUCAGGAGGAGCUUGGCAUCCAGUCUCAUCAUGGUCCAUGUUUUCACCACCCCUGCACCAAUACAAUUGAAAAACUUGAGAUCUUAGAAAGAAA
rnacentral:lncRNA from 1 species